GCCUCCGUGGCGCAAUCGGCUAGCGCGUUCGGCUGUUAACCGAAAGGUUGGUGGCUCCAGCCAACGCGGGUGCG
rnacentral:tRNA from 1 species